rnacentral:rRNA from 1 species
ACGGAGGGUGCAAGCGUUGUCCGGAUUUAUUGGGUUUAAAGGGUGCGUAGGCGGCUUCUUAAGUCAGUGGUGAAAGCCCGCAGCUCAACUGUGGAACUGCCAUUGAAACUGAGAAGCUUGAGUACGGUUGAAGUAGGCGGAAUUUAUGGUGUAGCGGUGAAAUGCAUAGAUACCAUAAAGAACACCGAUAGCGUAGGCAGCUUACUAAGCCGUAACUGACGCUGAGGCACGAAAGCAUGGGUAGCGAACAGG